rnacentral:tRNA from 1 species
GCCCGGGUGGUGGAAUUGGCAGACACGCACGACUCAAAAUCGUGUGCCGAAAGGCAUGGGAGUUCGACUCUCCCCCCGGGCA